CCAUCCUGAUGUUGAGUUUGUGGACAAAGAAGCAGUCGCAGUUACCAGUGUGUCUUGGAAGGCAACUUUCUACAAUGGACCAAGCUCUACGGACUUCAUAAAUGUCCAUGACAUUUUUCUUGAAUGUGAUCAUGAUUCAAUCAUAUACCUUGGGAAGUCUGUUGAACCAACAAUAUAUGAUCUUUUGGGUGAUCAAGAGGUUGAAAUCUGCUUGUUGAAAAAUGGAAAACCAUCAUGGACGAAGAAGAAGUUUCUUUGCUCCAAAGUCAGGUUGUUGCGUCUUAAGACUGGCUUGAGG